GUGCAAUUAGUUUUUAUUUUUGUCUAUAUUUAAUACUUCAUGCAUGUGUCUAAAAAUUAGAUGUGAUGGGGAAUCUGAAAAAUUUUGUAAAAUUUUUGGGAACUAAACAAGGCCUUAGUGUGGCGAGUUGUUAGGUUUGGGUCGUUCUGUUGUGCAGGCAUGGGCAGGACAGCUGUAAUAAAUCUGCACAACUACAGCAAAGCUGUGGCCCGAGGUAAAGAUUAGGAAAGCUGAGUGAACAGUUGAUGGGAAGGAGUUGGACAGUGCGCAGGUAUAUUGAUUUUGCUAUGCUGUGAGAAGGCAUGUAUAUUUAUUCUUGGAGCAUGUUGGGGCCAUUCACAAUUUCAUUGCAUCAUUUAUGGAAACCAUUGAGGCGACGAUGAAUUUCUUAGACGCAAUAUGCUCACAGGGUACAGCAAGGUAUGGUGUGCAAAACUUGCUCUGAAUCUCUGCAGGUUGACUUAGACUCAAGAGGCCAGAUCUGAGGUGGACCGACCACUCGUACCCACUGGCAUGAGAUGAUGGGAAUAAUGUGGAUGUUCAAUCUCACCAUGGUUCCUUGGAUCGUCUUCAUCAUAUAUUGAUUGAUGAGAUCUCUAUAUUGAUUGGGUUCUUUCGUUGAGUUGGAAGCAUCGAGCAUGCAAGACGUCAAAAACUUCUCUUCAGUUCUGCUGGUACUAUUUGAGUGAUUCGUGAUCCUGUGUUUUCAUUUAUGAUUCAUUUUGCAUUGUAUAUUACUGUCAUAUAGUUUUAUAUCUUGCAGGAGUGCAUGGGUAAGAGUAAAUCUUGAGAUCUAUCAGCUCGAUUCUUCGGAGGUGUUUAUAGGAGUAGAGUUUGUGUAUUUAUAAAGGCCGUGCAAGAAAUUUUUUUCUCGGCCUUCAAUAUGAAAACCAGAGAACCAGUCGAAAAACAAUGAACAAAAGAAAAAAAAAAGCCAUCUUCUUCUACGAAGACCCAUCCUCUUGUUAACCUGAUUGAUUAUGAGAUCUCCUCCAGCUCCCUGGCCAGGUCCUUCUGGCGUCCGACGACGAUGGUGACGUGGUCCUUGCCGUCGACGACCUUCACCUGGGCGCGCGGGAUCUUGGCCUUGACGGCGUAGCUGCACUGCACGGGGAGGAGCUCGUCGU